GAUGAACGCUGGCGGCGUGCCUAAUACAUGCAAGUCGAGCGAACAGACGAGGAGCUUGCUCCUCUGACGUUAGCGGCGGACGGGUGAGUAACACGUGGAUAACCUACCUAUAAGACUGGGAUAACUUCGGGAAACCGGAGCUAAUACCGGAUAAUAUAUUGAACCGCAUGGUUCAAUAGUGAAAGACGGUUUUGCUGUCACUUAUAGAUGGAUCCGCGCCGCAUUAGCUAGUUGGUAAGGUAACGGCUUACCAAGGCAACGAUGCGUAGCCGACCUGAGAGGGUGAUCGGCCACACUGGAACGUAGACACGGUCCAGACUCCUACGGGAGGCAGCAGUAGGGAAUCUUCCGCAAUGGGCGAAAGCUUGACGGAGCAACGCCGCGUGAGUGAUGAAGGUCUUCGGAUCGUAAAACUCUGUUAUUAGGGAAGAACAAAUGUGUAAGUAACUAUGCACGUCUUGACGGUACCUAAUCAGAAAGCCACGGCUAACUACGUG
rnacentral:rRNA from 1 species